rnacentral:sRNA from 1 species
GAAGAAACCCUCUUUAUCGGUGCUCCAC